GCGCUAUUUAGAGGGAGCACUAUAGACAGGUUUAACUGUAUAUGGUGAUUAAUACAAAGCAGUAACGCGCCAUCUAUAUAUAACAAAUGAAAACAAUGACGCAAAUGUCCUUACUGCGAUGAAAAAAUAUUGGAAGGGCUUCGCUCCUCUGUGGUGAACCCUCCUCACGGUUUUGUAUGGUGUAUUGCCUUGUAAUAAAUAAGAAGAUACUCUUACCUUAAGGAUGAUCUCUUUAAUCUUAUUUAUUUAACUAUUUACAAGGUAUUUAUUAAACUUAGAACAAUCACAGCUAUGGCGGAACUUUCACCAGCCUAAGGUAAACAAAACAGUUAAUGUGAUGAUGAUCGUAACUUACUCUCAACACAUCUCCCCCUUUUCUUCUAGAGGUUUAGCCUGUCUGGCGGCUUUAUCACGCGUCCACUCCUGGUCUUUACUGGUUCCGGUGAUCUCUGGAAUGUCCUCGGUUCACUGUCACAAGUAGUGUUGUCCCCAGUAGAUGUGAAGCACUGACUCAUCUCAGGAGACUCCAUCUCUUCAUCUUCCAUGUCAAUCUUUUCACCCUGUGGGUUUGGUAGUAGGUGGAAUCUAUUUCUUCUUAAAAUUCCUUUUGGAGAGUUGACUAUAUAAGAUCUUGGACUUCCAGCGUCUUCAAGUACCACACCGGGAACUCUCAAGUCUUUCACCCAUACUCUAGUUCCUUCAUCCAGAUGGGGCAAUUCUCUUGCACGAUGAUGUAUAUCAAAAUGGGUUUUCUUUUUGUGCCGUUGAUUUUUUUCUCUCAUUUCUAGAAUUUCAAGAUCAGGUAUUCUUGACUGGAGUUGAACUGGUGAUAUCGGCACAGUUGUUCUGAGUUUCCUGUUCAUGCAUAGUUCAGCAGGGCUGUACCCAUUUUCCAAUGGAGCGGUUCGAUAACCAAGAAGAGAAAGAUAUGGAUCUCUUCCUUUCUUCAAUUGGUUUUUGAUAUUCUUCACCAUCGAUUCGAUGAAGCCAUUGCUUUGAGGAAAUCUGGGACUAGAUGUUAUGUGGUGGAAACCGUAUUCUUUUGCAAACUUUUUGAAUUCUAACCCAAACUGUGGUCCGUUAUCUGAUCUAACCUCUUCGGGUAUUCCAUGGCGAGCAAAAAUUGACUUGCAAUGUAGAAUUGUUGAAUGUGUUGUUUGAUCCUCCAGCAAUGCCAACUCUGGGAAUCUAGAGUAAUAGUCCGCAAUUAGAAGAUAGUAUUUGCCCUUUAAGUAAAAAUGGUCGAUUCCCACUUUCUCCCAUGGCCUGCUUGGGGAAUCAGAAACAAUUAAUGGCUGCUGGGGAUUAGAUCUUUCUUCAAUACAAUUUGGGCAGUUCCUCACAAGUUCUCCAAUUUCUUGACUGAUGCCUACAAAUCAUCACUCAGAUUGCUCAGAAGAAACGAAUGCAUUACUCCUGAUCGGUUCCAGCAGUUUACCUCCAAUCUUUCUAGUGUUCCAUAUAUAUAUGGCCUACCUAAAACCCAUAAGCCCAGUGUCCCCCUUAGACCCAUUGUUGCCUACCACCUGUCACCCCGCCUUACAGCUAGCCAAAUACCUUUCUAGCCUUCUAAAACCCCUGGUCAAACCUCAUAAUCUUUACUCGGUCCAGGAUCCAUCUGACUUUUUUACAAGAUUAAAGAGUGUCCCCCAACCUCGUGGUCUUACCAUGUCAACUUUUGACGUGACAUCACUCUUUCUGUGCCUUCCGCAUUCUCUGAUCAUAGAUGGCCUAGAGCAACUUCUUUCUUCUUCCACUCUUCCUAGUAAUAAUCAAAAAACUAUCUUGGAUCUAUUCACCAUCUGCCUUGACAUGAAAAUACUUUAGAAUUCAAUGGCCGUUUCUUUGUACAGAUGAGAGGCUCCCCUAUGGGCAGCCCUCUUUCCACAAUAGCAGCUGAGAUAGUUAUGUCCAAUUUGGACCGGUGGUUAGUUUCCCAUAAUCAUUUGGGGAUCGAGAUGUGGUCGAGGUACGUUGACGAUAUUUUUUGCCUCCAUCGUGAUACCGACCAUCUCCCUAUACUCACAGUUUUAAACUCAUACCAUCAUGAUCUCCGUUUUACUCACAACCCAUCCUGUUUUGAUUGCAUCCCGUUUUUAGAUGUUUUAGUCAUUAACACUAAUGGCACUUUUCAGACCACCGUAUUUCGCAAGCCUAACUUCACUCCCUCCUAUUUACACUUUUUAUCGCAUGCCCCGGUUUCUCACAAAAUCACCACGGUAAAAACUCUCUCCAAACGGGUAUACACUCAUUGCUCCCUUGCCUUAUUUAGAAUGAUCGAGAAACGUACCGUUUACACCCAUCUUUUAUCCGCCGGUUACCCUCAUAAUUUUAUUGAUCGCCAUUUUUACGUCCCGAACCACAAAAAAGUUGCACCUCCUCUGUAUAAAAACGUCUAUGUCCUUCCUUUUUCGACCACGAACUCCGAUAUUGCGUUAUUUUUACGAAAAUUCGGUAUUUGCACGUUUUUCAAGAAUUCGCCUUCCCUAGAAGCAUCCUUACGGCACCCUAUAACAAAAAGGUCCAUCAAACUUAACCCUCUAUCCCUCAAUAACGUCAUCUAUAAAAUAUCAUGCAACGAUUGUGAACAAUGCUACAUUGGUGAAACUGGUCGAACCAUCGCUACUAGAAUCCGCGAACAUAAUCGUAAUAUACGUUCCAAAGAUAGAAAAUCUCUCAUUUUUCAACACAUCGCAGAUUUUGACCAUUCUUUCAAUUUAGAUGAUACGAUUUCUGUAUACAGAGAUAUUGGAAACAAGUACCAACGCUUGGUUCUGGAAGCACUGGUAUCGAACUGUACUCCCAGUUUUAACCGGAAGAUUGAUCUCCCACCGCAAUAUACAAUACUUUACGGCCUCACUCGCUGAUAUGUUUCUGGGUUUUAUUUUUAUUUUUGGUUUCAAUUUUUAUCUACAUGUUAUGCCUUUAUGUCUAAUUUUUAUCUCCGUUUUUUGCCUCUAUUUCUCACACAGAGUUCGUUUUAUUUGUAACUAUGCAAAUUCCCUUUCCAAUCUUCAGUAUGUAAAAUUCCUUAUUUCCUUGCGCGUAUAUAUGUAAAUAUUUUUGCUUAUAAAUAUGGCACUUCUCUGUCUACACUUGUAUAAGACCUGAAGAAGGGCAGUUGCUGCCUGAAAGCUCGUCAUGUUCUAUUAAAGAAUCUUACCACGUUACCCUGUUUUUCCUUUUGAAUGUUUAUAUUUUGAAAUUCAUUCUUGUACUAUUUAUAAUAAAUAUGUUUAUAUAUUUAAUGCAAUACUUCGCAGUUCGUAAUUACCUAUUUAUAUUUAGUUUAUUUUAUAUUUCGUUCUUUCAGAGUGUAAAUGAAGACAAAAAUAAGAAUAAAAAGGGAGAAAGGUGCACCCCAGAUGAAUGUUUUAGCUUACUUCACAUGGAGUCUCAAAACAAAACAGCGUCUCUCAAGAUGGCGGGUCUUUAAAAGGCCAAGGACGUCGUUACGGUCUUUAACAAUUAUAUCCUUCUGGGAGAUUCUAUUUUGAUCAGUGACAUCCUGAGUUGAGCUUUAAAAUCUCUUCUUUUUCAACCACUUUAGCCAUUCUUUAUUGAAAUCUCACGUGAUACAACUUCAUACUCUGGAUUACUCAAUAAUUUAUUAUCUUAAAGAUAGAGGUUGACUGACCGGUUUUAUAUUUCUUUAAAAAUUAGACACUUCGGUCAGUUAAAGUUUUAUUUUCUCAACGUUUCAACAAAAAUAUUUUGUCUUCGUCAGGAGAAAUAAAUAAAAAUUAGCAUUUAGCAAGGCGUUUAGAGAACAAUUUUUAAUGCCUUGCCAAAUGCUUUAUUUUUUAUUUAUUUCUAUUAACGAAGACACAUAUUUUUGUUGAAACGUUGAGAAAAUAAAACUUUAACUGGACUAAGGGUCUAUUUUUUAAAGAAAUAAUUUAUUAUCAAAACAAAUUUAUUCAUUUUUAUUCUAACUAUGCAUGUACGGGAUAAUCAAAAAAUAAUUAUUGCUGACGGACGAAACCAUGGCAAUAUCGGCCUUAAUUCUGUUGAACAACCUCAUUUGCUUUCUAUCUGCUUGAAAAACAUUAUCAUUGGUCUUCUAUCUGCUUGAACAACAUCAUCAUUGACUUUCUAUCUGCUUGAACAAAAUCAUCAUUGACUUUCUAUCUGCUUGAACAACAUCAUCAUUGGUCUUCUAUCUGCUUAAACAACAUCAUAAUUGGCCUUCUAUCUGCUUGAACAAUAUCAUCAUUGGUCUUCUAUCUGCUUGAAAAAUAUCAUCAUUGGCCUUCUAUCUGCUUGAACAACACCAUCAUUUGCCUUCUAUCUGCUUGAACAACAUCAUCAUUGGUCUUCUAUCUGCUUAAACAACUUCAUCAUUGGCCUUCUAUCUGCUUGAACAACAUCAUCAUUGGCCUUCUAUCUGCUUGAACAACAUCAUCAUUGGCCUUCUAUCUGCUUGAACAACAUCAUCAUUGGCCUUCUAUCUGCUUGAACAACAUCAUCAUUGGCCUUCUAUCUGCUUGAACAACAUCAUCAUUGGCCUUCUAUCUGCUUGAACAACAUCAUCAUUGGCCUUCUAUCUGCUUAAACAACAUCAUCAAUGGCCUUCUAUAAGCUUAAACAACAUAAUCAUUGGCACUCUAUCUGCUUUAACAACAUCAUCAUUGGCCUUUUAUCUGCUUGAACAACAUCAUCAUUGGCCUUCUAUCUGCUUAAAUAACAUCAUCAUUGGCCUUCUAUCUGCUUGAACAACAUCAUCAUUGGCCUUCUAUCUGCUUGAACAAUAUCAUCAUUAGCCUUCUAUCUGUUUGAACAACAUCAUCAUUGGCCUUCUAUCUGCUUGAACAACAUCGUCAUUGGCCUUUUAUCUGCUUGAACAACACCGUCAUUGACCUUCUAUCUGAUUGAACAACAUUAUCAUUGGCCUUCUACCUGCUUAAAUAACAUCAUCAUUGGCCUUCUAUCAGCUUAAACAACAACAUAAUUGGCCUACUAUCUGCUUAAAUAACAUCAUCAUUGGCCUUCUAUCUGCUUGAACAACAUCAUCAUUGGCCUUCUAUCUGCUUGAACAAUAUCAUCAUUAGCCUUCUAUCUGUUUGAACAACAUCAUCAUUGGCCUUCUAUCUGCUUGAACAACAUCAUCAUUGGCCUUCUAUCUGCUUGAACAACAUCCUCAUUGACUUUCUAUCUGCUUGAAC